CAGCCGCCGCGGUAAUACGGAGGAUCCAAGCGUUAUCCGGAAUCAUUGGGUUUAAAGGGUCCGUAGGCGGUCUUGUAAGUCAGUGGUGAAAGCCCAUCGCUCAACGGUGGAACCGCCAUUGAUACUGCAGGACUUGAAUUAUUGGGAAGUAACUAGAAUAUGUAGUGUAGCGGUGAAAUGCUUAGAGAUUACAUGGAAUACCAAUUGCGAAGGCAGGUUACUACCAAUUGAUUGACGCUGAUGGACGAAAGCGUGGGUAGCGAACAGGAUUAGAUACCCCGGUAGUCCCUGUCUCUUAUAC
rnacentral:rRNA from 1 species